CGGGUUCUGCCCCUCUCGUGCAAGGCCGAUUUUCCAGUGGCCGAUAAGCAAUUCCGAGGGAGCUGGCUCUGCCGGGGCCGUGGCCUCGGUAUCUGGCGCCCACCUGGUUAAACCAGGCUCUCGGGAAAACAGCGCCUUCACGGUUGCCGCGGGCCCGCC
rnacentral:misc_RNA from 1 species